AAUGAAUAAAUAUUAUAUUCUCAAUCCACCCUCACUCUGUUAGACAACUUUCUGAAGACUCACAAUCUGGAAAUGAAGAUACAUGCUUUAUUCGAUUGGUAACUGAGCGUGAAUCAAUAUUAUUAAGACUGAAAAUAAUGUUUUCGUAGCAGCUAGUCCAUAUUUUUGUUAUCAGUUUGGAAAAAAGCAACAAUUGAAAUCUUGUUGAUAUGAGUUAGAUUCCACCGUUUUACUUAUAUUUUUAGACUCCUAUCCGGUUUGUAACCGGCUGCAAAUCGCUAAUAGUUGGACUAUACAAGUGGUAUAUGUUCAGAGAUUUUACUAACACAAACGGAUACUUCAAAUUAUCUUUCUAUAAAAUCAUUUGCCAACUUACAUAAUUGUACGGAGUUCUCUCAAGUUCUGAAGCAUUCAUCAGUAACCAUAAUUUUAUAUGCCUUUGAAUGUGUUAUUAAAUGGGUAACCCUUGUUUUAAUUGGAGAAAAAUGUAUUGCCAAUAUUAAUUACUUUUGCCACGUUUGCCACUAUCAGUAUCAACACUCGAUGUUUAGUAAAUAACGUGGUUCAAGAAACACUUCUGAAAAAAAUUCUAAAUAAGUCAGUUCAGCAUUUCGCUAUUCCAAAUACGAUUCGGUGUAGAGGUUUUUGAUGUCACUGUUCAAAAAUAGAUAACUAGUAUGACUACUAAAGUGAUUUGCGUGUGGGCAUACUUAAUCAUCGUUUAUAAGAGAUAGGUUUAUUAAAACAUUUGAUGUCUGUCGAACGUUAUGAUUCCACACAUAAACUACCUAGUUGAAGAACAGUCUGUAUAUCAUGAAAGUGUUUAUAUAGAAUUUUGGAUGUUGUUAUGUAUGCUAUCAGUGAUGGAUCAAUAUUUCCUGUAGACUAAUGAAAGAGCGUAGUCUUUUAUUGCUAAUAUAUUUCUCGAUACAUGGAGUAGUUGAAUCACAUUGUUUAAUGUAUUUGAUUGACGGAAAAACAAAGAAAUCUGAAGAAUUUGUUUAUACUAUUGAAGUGUACAACCCAACAUCAACACCUGGUCCAUGGAAAUAUUGUCAACAAGUUACAUUGACGUCUGUGUGUUUAGUUGAAUAGUUUUUAAUAGGCCACCACAUUUUAUAUCUCAUUAGCAUUAAUUAUAGUCUUAUUAUUGGUUGUAACACAGAUGAUUAACUUAAGAUAAAACAUAUAUUUAUUUUAUCAAUUUUAGUUUUUUUCUGAAUGUUCAAUAAAAAGUGUUUUAUAUAAUUUAAAUCAACUAUUGCAUUCAAGUUAAAGAAAUACAGCUUAUAUUCAGUAGGUAUACUCAUAACAGUAAAUAAUAGUUUUUUCUCAACAAUUCUUUGCUUUAUACUUAAAUACGUAUUCUUAAGUAGUAGUGUACAAUAAAAUGGAAAAGAGUCAGUAAGCUGUAUAUCAAGAAAAAAAACUAUAUUCUAAGUCAUUGCAACACAUAAGCAACUUCAUUUAAAAUCAUAGGCAUUAAGUUUAUUAUAUCGCUUCAAAUAGUAGCAAGAUCGUCAUUGCUUACAUAGUAGUUACAUUUAUAUGGAAUACAGUCUACAGAUUAAAAAUUAUAAGUAAUAGUUGCGCUUUGCAUCAGUUCAUAUAGGUACCUAAGCAUUUUAUAGACCUAAUCUAAUUUUGAAAAUAAAUUUAAAAUUUUAUAUUCUGAGCUGAGUAAUGAAGAUAUUGUUAUUACAAUGAUGUUUUUUUUUGUAUCUGUUAUCACCUUUUGGGACAGAAAAAAUGCUUCUAUUUUUUUCAAAAGCGUCUUUUUUGGCAAAAAAGUGAAUUUAGUUUGUACUUUGGGGGUCAAAGCUCAAAAGUUCCCAAUAGUUUACAAAAGUGCCAGUAAGAGCAAACAAAAAUUAAGGAAAAGCUGCAAACUCAAUUUUUAAAAAAAUUGAUUUUAUUUAUAAUGUAACUAAAAAAAUAACUGAAUGUAGAUGUUAUUUUCAUUGAAUGUUUAUAUUAUUAUCAAUUUCUAU